rnacentral:tRNA from 1 species
GCGAGAGUGGCGGAAUUGGCAGACGCGCUGGAUUUAGGAUCCAGUGAGAUUUUCUCGUGGGGGUUCGAAUCCCCCCUCUCGCACCA